rnacentral:rRNA from 1 species
CGACCGGCGCACGGGUGCGUAACGCGUAUGCAACCUACCUUUAACAGGGGGAUAACACUGAGAAAUUGGUACUAAUACCCCAUAAUAUCAUAGAAGGCAUCUUUUAUGGUUGAAAAUUCCGAUGGUUAGAGAUGGGCAUGCGUUGUAUUAGCUAGUUGGUGGGGUAACGGCUCACCAAGGCGGCGAUACAUAGGGGGACUGAGAGGUUAACCCCCCACACUGGUACUGAGAUACGGCCCAG